rnacentral:rRNA from 1 species
GACGAACGCUGGCGGCGUACCUAAUACAUGCAAGUUGAGCGCUGAAGGUUGGUACUUGUACCAACUGGAUGAGCAGCGAACGGGUGAGUAACGCGUGGGGAAUCUGCCUUUGAGCGGGGGACAACAUUUGGAAACGAAUGCUAAUACCGCAUAAAAACUUUAAACACUAGUUUUAAGUUUGAAAGAUGCAAUUGCAUCACUCAAAGAUGAUCCCGCGUUGUAUUAGCUAGUUGGUGAGGUAAAGGCUCACCAAGGCGAUGAUACAUAGCCGACCUGAGAGGGUGAUCGGCCACAUUGGGACUGAGACACGGCCCAAACUCCUACGGGAGGCAGCAGUAGGGAAUCUUCGGCAAUGGACGAAAGUCUGACCGAGCAACGCCGCGUGAGUGAAGAAGGUUUUCGGAUCGUAAAACUCUGUUGGUAGAGAAGAACGUUGGUGAGAGUGGAAAGCUCAUCAAGUGACGGUAACUACCCAGAAAGGGACGGCUAACUACGUG